GUUUAUUUCAUCACCAGCUUUGAUCACUAGCACAAUGACUGCAGAAAUGUCAAUGUGUGGUGGCUUUACCCCAGAGAAGGUUGUCACUCCAGAGGAGGAGAAGAUCUGCCGUGAGAUGAAGCCAGACAUCGAGAAGAAGGCUGGAAUCCAUUUUAAGGCUUACAUUCCUUUAAGCUUUAGGACUCAGGUUGUGGCUGGAACAAACCAUCUGGUGAAGGUGUACGUUGGAGUGGAUAAGUGCAUUCAUGCAAUGAUAUUUCAAGCUCUCCCCUGCAAUGGAGGGGAACUGACUGUGACUGGAGUCCAGCACCCUAAAACCGCCAGUGAACCUCUGAUCCCCUUUGAUCACUAACCACAUGCAGAAAACAGUCUGUCUUCUCUAAUAACAGACACACACAAUGAUCUGCCAUACUGUAUAGAGGAACUAUUGAAAACUGUUUCAUUCCUCAAUAUUAAACUCAAUCUUCAAACCCUCA